ensembl:lncRNA
GAGCGGUCAGCUCAAAAUAGUCAUAGGUAACCGUCGGCUCAAGGAAACCGUGCAAAACAUUACAAAAGACGCUGACAGACCAAAGACCAGCCGAGCCAUUCAUUCUAGUUACAUUUUGCCCUAAAAAAAUGGGCUCUGACAGCUAACAGGCCAUUGGGAACAGCGGCCCGGUGACGCGGCCACUCAACAGAUUAGCACCUCAUCAGCCUCCUGCAGCUUCCUACAAAUAUGCUCCCCGCCUCCCACCCGACACAAUGGGGCCGCCAGCGCACCCUGGGCCCCCACGCGGGGUCAGCCCCCCAGCCCCAGCCUGCUACAAAACUUCCUGGUCUGUUCUUUCCACGGGGGCCACAGCUGCCUGGAGGAGGCCCUCCUGUAGCCCCUGGCCCACCCCGACCCCAAUUGGCAAGAUGUGUGUAUUUCAGUAGAGUGGUGGAGGGAUGACGUAUGUUGGCCAACCCGGAAGUGAGCGUCGCCCUGGAUUCC